GACGAACGCUGGCGGAGUGCUUAACACAUGCAAGUCGAACGAAGUGGCGAACGGGUGAGUAACGCGUAAUCAACCUGCCCUUCAGAGGGGGACAACAGUUGGCAACGACUGCUCAUACCGCAUCCUGAAGGUGGGGAUUGCGUCUGAUUAGCGAGUUGGAGGGGUAACGGCCCACCAAGGCGAUGAUCAGUAGCCGGUCUGAGAGUAUGAACGGCCACAUGGGGACUGGGACACGGCCCAGACUCCUACGGGAGGCAGCAGUGGGGAAUCUUCCGAAAUGGACGAAAGUCUGACGAAGCAACGCCGCGUGGGUGAUGACGGCCUUCGGGUUGUAAAGCUCUGUUAAUCGGGACGCGGUACCGGAAUAGAAAGCCACGGCUAACUACGUGCCAGCAGCCGCGGUAAUAC
rnacentral:rRNA from 1 species